GAACGCCGUCACUCGUCAGCGCCCGACGCGUUUGCAUCAUUACACUGCGACCGAGUGAUAGGCAAAGAGGAAGGGAGGGCCGGCCGAGCCCGCGCUCUCGGCCGCGCGGCACGCUGGGAAGCGUAGUUCAGCGGAAGAACGAAAGGAGGACGCGGAAGGAGAUCCUCGGAUUCCCGCAGAGGCACAAAGCCGCGGGCUCCGUCCUUUUUAUUGCUUUUAGCUGUAAACUUAGACUUGGACAGAGGCAUUUAGCAUAAAAACAAUAACCUCUUUUCAUUCAACUUCCCCUUUGGUUGGUAAAGCGGGCAGAAAGUCAACAGAUAGUAAAAUCGAAGACAGGAGCUAAUAUAAAAAAAAAUUUUUUUUAAUGGUUGAAAAAGCAAUGUUGGUGAUCUUUAAGCCUAAAGCAGAAUUUAAAAAUGUAUACGGUUUCAUUAAUGUCCCAUUAACAUGUAAGGGCUUUGCUGUCAAACACAAGGACUAGAAUUCUGGCCCCACCGCUCUCUAGCUUGACCUUGCAGAAGUCAAAACUUUCUGAGCCUUGGCUUCAUCUUCCGUAAAAUGGGAACCAUAGUGAUCGUUCAUGUAGAGGACGUAGUAUCUGUCCUGGUAGGCAAGAACUGCAAUAAAUGGUUACAAUUAUUACCCACAGGCAGGCAGCUCACAUCAGACGUAAGUGGUAGGUUACCGGUAAUAAAAGUAUACAUAUAUUGCUCCAAAUAGAAGGCAUUAUAUUUAGGAAAGUGAGUAAGUGAGCUAGGAUCAAAGACUGAUCCCACAAAGAAUAGAGAUUGUAGGAAUUGAUGGUCAGAAGGGCUUGCUGGGGCGUGCCUGGGUGGCUUAGUCUGUUGGGCCUCACACUUUGGCUGAGGUCAUGAUCUCGCAGUUCUUGAGUUCCAGCCCCCAUCCCCACAUCAGGCUCUGUACUGACAGCUCAGAGCCUGGAGCCUGCUUCAGAUUCUAUGUCUCCUCUGCCCCUCCCCGGCUUGUGCUCUCUCUCUCUCUCAAAAUAAACAUUUUAGAGGCGCCUGGAUGGCUCAGCCGGUUGAGCAUCCGACUUUGGCUCAGGUCAUGAUCUCACAGUUCAUGAGUUGGAGCCCCGCGUGGGGCUCUGUGCUGACAGCUCAGAGCCUGGAGCCUGCUUCAGAUUCUGUGUCUCCCCCUCUCUCUGCCCCUCCCUUGCUCAUGCUUUGUCUCUCUCUCUGUCUCAAAAAUAAAUAAAACGUUAAAAAUAAAUAAAUAAAUAAAUAAACAUUUUAAAAAUUGAAAGAAAAGAAAAGGCUUCUUGGUCAUGUGGUCCAGCCCCCACAUUCAACCCACCAGACAGGGGUUCAGAGAAUUCAGGUGGCACGCUCAAGGACACUCAGCCCCAGGGAACCCAAAGCCACAACUUGUAACCCAACUUUCUGAGUUGAGACAAGUAAACAAAUGAGGGAAAAAAUCUGCUGUAAAAAAACAGGUUUAGUGCUCCAUUUGAGACAAUUGAUCUUAAAGGUUGUAAGUUUCAGAGUCAAACAGACUUAAUUUCAAAUCUAUCACUUACUAGCUGUGUAGCCUUGGGGAAGUUACUGAUCCUCUUUCUAAGCUUCAGUUUCCUCAUCUGCAAAUAGAAUGAAUAUUUACCUCAACUGGUUGGUGGUUCUAAUGAAAGGAUUAAUAUAUAUAGCUCAUAAAACUACUUAGAAAGCAUGUAAUAUCCAGCUAUUAAAUACAAAUCAACUCUAAGAUGUUCAUACCAUCUCCACCACCAAACUGCACAAUGCAAAUCACUCUUAUAAAUCAUGUAAGUCAAAUUGUGAGACCAAACUUACAGUACCUUGGAUUUUGUAGUACCUUUCAGCACCUAAGGAAACAGGCUGCAUCAGGCAUAGGUUUAUAGAGCAAAUGGCUUUCAGUGGCACCUCUGACCAUAAUCACCAAGACUAUAAAAAGUUGCCAAAUAUGACAAACAAAAUGAAUCUACUUCCUCUUCUGUUUCCUGGUUGUCCUACCUCCGUGCCAGGCUCUACCACUAACUCCCCACUAGACUCGUCAGGUAGACGUGCUCCUUCCCCUGAAGCACCUCAUCCUUCUUAAAUACAAUGGUCUCUCUUUCACAGUUAUUAACUAGGUAUUUGACAAGCAGAGUCAAGUAGUUCCUAAUAAGCUCAGCCAGGGAACGUCUGUACCUGAAUAUUUCACUGGGCUGUGAAUAUAGAAGAUUGAACUGUAGUCAUGUCUCAUUUUCCCUUUUCACUCUACCAGACUCAGAAUUUCCAGCACAGGAGAGUGAACAGGCUGGGGCUCAAAAAUCAUCCCUUUCUUAGAGGCCCGUUGUUUGAUGUCUGCAUGGGACAGACUUCAUAUUCAAGCUUUGAAAAGGAUAUGCAAAAGAGCUGGGCCAACCUAAGAUGAAACUUCAGAAUUGAAAAUUGAUCCUGAACACAUGGACCAGUGUUAACACAGAGCACUCACUCUGUACGUACUACAGCUAAUCAUACCAAUGUCAACUGUUCUUAUUUUAUUGUAAUAAAUAAUACACUGAUUAAUACAGCUAAACUGCUUUCUAUAAUCUUA